AUUGAACGCUGGCGGAAUGCUUUACACAUGCAAGUCGAGCGGCAGCGCGGGGGCAACCCUGGCGGCGAGCGGCGAACGGGUGAGUAACAUAUCGGAACGUACCCUGUCGUGGGGGAUAACUAUCCGAAAGGAUAGCUAAUACCGCAUACGACCUGAGGGUGAAAGCGGGGGACCGCAAGGCCUCGCGCGAUAGGAGCGGCCGAUAUCGGAUUAGCUAGUUGGUGAGGUAAAGGCUCACCAAGGCGACGAUCCGUAGCGGGUCUGAGAGGACGACCCGCCACACUGGAACUGAGACACGGUCCAGACUCCUACGGGAGGCAGCAGUGGGGAAUUUUGGACAAUGGGGGCAACCCUGAUCCAGCCAUGCCGCGUGGACGAUGAAGGCCUUAGGGUUGUAAAGUCCUUUCAGAUGGGAAGAUAAUGACGGUACCAUCAGAAGAAGCCCCGGCUAACUCCGUG
rnacentral:rRNA from 1 species